rnacentral:rRNA from 1 species
CCUACGGGAGGCAGCAGUGGGGAAUUUUGGACAAUGGGCGAAAGCCUGAUCCAGCCAUGCCGCGUGCAGGAUGAAGGCCUUCGGGUUGUAAACUGCUUUUGUACGGAACGAUAAAGACUCCUUCUAAUAAAGGGGGUCCAUGACGGUACCGUAAGAAUAAGCACCGGCUAACUACGUGCCAGCAGCCG